rnacentral:rRNA from 1 species
AGCCGGCCCAGGACCCAGUUCAACGGCCGCGGUAUCCUAACCGUGCGAAGGUAGCGUAAUCACUUGUUCUUUAAAUGAGGACUAGUAUGAAUGGCAUCACGAAGGUUAUACUGUCUCCUUUUUCUAAUCAAUGAAACUAAUCCCCCCGUGAAGAAGCGGGGAUUAAAAUAUAAGACGAGAAGACCCUAUGGAGCUUCAAACUAUAUAACACUGGCUUUAAUCAUUUAUUCCACAGGGUUCUCAUGUUAACUCUAGCCUUUUGAUUAUUAGUUUUGGGUUGGGGUGACCGCGGAGCAAAAAUUAUCCUCCAUGAUGAACAGAACUACUCUUGAGCCAAAAGCCACAACUUUAAGCACCAACAAACUGACAUAAAUUGACCCAAUAUCUUGAGCAACGAACCAAGUUACCCUAGGGAUAACAGCGCAAUCCACCCCAAGAGCCCCUAUCGACAGGUGGGUUUACGACCUCGAUGUUGGAUCAGGGUAUCCCAGUGGUGCAGCCGC